CGGGAAGCCAUGCGGCGACGCAGAGCGGAACCCGAAAACCUGUCUCAGUUCGGAUUGGAGUCUGCAACCCGACUCCAUGAAGCUGGAUUCGCUAGUAAUCGCGCAUCAGCCACGGCGCGGUGAAUACGUUCCCGGGCCUUGUACACACCGCCCGUCAAGCCAUGGAAGCCGGGAGUGCCUGAAGUGCGUGAGCGCAAGCAGCGCCCUAAGGUAAAACCGGUGACUGGGGCUAAGUCGUAACAAGGUAGC
rnacentral:rRNA from 1 species